rnacentral:piRNA from 1 species
UCCUGCGUGACAAUGGCCUCUCCAGGCCCAGC